rnacentral:lncRNA from 1 species
GCUGCAUAUGUAUCAAAAGAUGGCCUAGUCGGCCAUCACUGGAAAGAGAGGUCCAUUGGACACACAAACUUUAUAUGCCCCAGUACAGGGGAACUCCAGGGCCAAAAGGGGGGAGUGGGUGGGUAGGGGAGUGGGGGUGGGUGGGUAUGGGGGACUUUUGGUAUAGCAUUGGAAAUGUAAAUGAGCUAAAUACCUAAUAAAAAUGGAAAGGAAAAAAAAAGGAAUAGUGAUUGUUGCUUCCUGUUAUUUUUGUUGUUAGAGGGGGAAUUAUGUUUGUGUGGCUAUUUUCUUUUGCGUUUGUUGAAAGAACGUCACUUUCUUGCUUUUUCUAUGGUGUAAUUUACCUCCUUGUGUUGGAAUUUUCCAUCUAUUAUCCUUUGUAGGGCUGGAUUUGUGGAGAGAUAAAUUUGGUUUUGUCAUGGAUUAUCUUGGUUUCUCCAUCUAUGGUAAUUGAGAAUUUUGUUUGAUAUAGUAGUCUGGCCUGACAUUUGUGUUCUUUUAGGGUCUGUAUGACAUCUGCUCAGGAUCUUCUAGCUUUCAUAGUCUCUGGUGAGAAGUCUGGUGUAAUUCUAAUAGGUCUGCCUUUAUAUGUUACUUGACUUUUCCCCUUACUGCUUUUAAUAUUCUUUCUUUGUUUCGUGCAUUUGGCAUUUUGACUAUUAUGCGAUGGUAGGAUUUUUUUUUUUUUUUUGAUCCAACCUAUUUGGAGUUCUGUAGGCUUCUUGUAUGUUUAUGGGCAUCUCUUUCUUCAGGCUAGGGAAGUUUUCUUCUAUGAUUUUGUUGAAGAUAUUUACUGGUCCUUUAUGUUGGGAAUCUUUACUCUCUUUAUACCUAUUAUCCUUAGGUUUUCCUGUUUUGGGCUAGGAGCUUUUUUGUAUUUUGCGUUUUUUAAACUGUUGUGUUAAUGUUUUCUAUGGUAUCUUCUGCACCUGAGAUUCUCUCUUCUACCUGUAUUCUGUUGAUGAUACUUGAACCUAUGAUUUCUGAUCUCCUUUCUAGGUUUUCUAUACACAGAGUUGUCUCCUUUGUGAUUUCUUUAUUGUUUCUAUUUCCCUUUUAGAUCCUGGAUGGUUUUGUUCAAUUCCUUCACCUCUUUGGUUGUAUUUUCCUGUAAUUCUUUAAGGGACUUUUGUGUUUCCUCUUUAAGGGUUUCUACCUGCUUACCUGUGUUCUCCUGUUUGUCAAGGGAAUUAUUAUGCCCUUCUUAAAGUCCUCCAUCAUCAUCAUGAGUUGUGAUUUUAAAUCAGAGCAUUGCUUUUCUCUUGUGUUGGGGUAUCCAGGGCUUGCUGUGUGGGAGAAGUGGGUUCCAAUGAUGUCAAGUAGCCUUGGUUUCUGUUGCUUAUGUUUUUUCCCUUGCCUGUCACCAUCUGGUUAUCUGUGGUGUUAGAUGGUCUUGCUGUCCCUGACUGUGGCCUGUCCCUUCUGUAAGCUUGUGUGUCAGCACUCCUGGGAGACCAGCUGUCUGUGGGCUGAAUUUUGGUAUGGAAUGCUGUGGCACAGCGUCAGUUCUGGUGUGCAGACAUAAACCAGAAAUAUUCUGUCUCAGACUGUUCCUUAGUUCCUGUGUUCUGAUGGGUCUGGGCAGGUCCCUCUUGGACCAGGCAUUUGAGCAGAAGUGGUGGUCUCACCUGUGUUUGCAGGUGUGUCAGCAGCACUCCUGGGAGAUCAGCUCUCUCUGGGUGGAAUUUGGGUAUGGAGAACUGUGGCAUAGGGUCAGCUCUAGGUGCAGAUGUAUUCUGGAAGAAUCCUGUCCCAGGGUACUCCUUGGUUCCUGUGCCCUGAGGGUUCUUGGCAGGUCCCUCUUGGGCCAGGUAUUUCAGCAGAAGUGGUGGUCUUACCUAUGCUCUCAGGUGUGUUAACGCUCCUGGGAGACCAGCUCUCUCCUGGUGGGAUUUAUUAUGGAGAACUUAGCACAGGGUCAGCUCUGGGGCACAGACAGAAAUUCCUGAGAUUUUUUUUUUUUAAAUGGCAUUUCAUCACUCAAGUCCUGGGUUAUUUUUUAAGGACUGUAACAGGGAUACUGGUUGUCAUCUAGAGGCUCACCCCACUCAUUCCAUGAGAUGGACAAAGUAUCAAAUGUCUGAAAAAGUCAGACGAUCAAUGAGUAGAUAAAACCAAAGCAACAGGCUUAUUUGAAACAGCUCUCUUCAGGAUGGGAAAGGCCUUCAAAAUGGGAGUCUAUUAAACUGAUUCUGGGUUGUGUAUAGGACUCUUGUGUUUUCCUUUUUCUCUUGAUGUUGAUGUUUUGGUUCUUGCCUAAGGCUUAUUAUUAUUAUUUUCUCUCCUAAAUUUUCUGAGAACUAGAAGCAGUCAUCUUAGAGAACCUGUCCUCAUUUUUCCUAUAUCUCUCUAAUAUAAUGUAAUGAAAAUGUUUUUCCACAAGUGUAAAGCCAGA